ACGUAUUUUUUUUUUCUCAUUGGGUUAUACGAAUAUUAAUUCAAAAUAUUAAGUUAAGAUGAGUAGAAAACGUGGAAGAACUGUUUCUACGGACAGCGAAGACAAGGAGAAUGAUUUAGACAAACGGAUCAAGAGAUUGGAAGAAUUAAUUUGGCGUAAAGAAAAGAAGAAAGAAAAGAGGAGGCGCAGGCGUCAACACAGUUCGAGACAUUCUCGUGACUCUUCGGACUCUCGUCGUAGCUAUGAGGGCCGUCAGAGUCAGACGUCGAGACAAUCGUUCAGCAAUGAUGAGUCUGAUGUAGAGAAAGAUCUUGUACAUGACCGAGAGCGGAAUAUAGUCGGAGAUACACAGACAGACGAGAAUGCUGCGAACGGGACAGAACAGCGAAAUGAGACGCCAGCUACGCACGGUGCGAAAGACAUGGCGAUAGAUGAUGAUCACUCUGUUCCUCUUCAAGUCCCGGAAACUCGAAUCGAUUCAGGCGACGUUGUUUUGGAUCCAAAGAUCCUCGAGGUAAUGGGGAAACGUUUCCUCGAGGACCGAGUUUUGGCUGCUGCUAUCCCAAAUGAUUUGGGCAUUCGUUGGGAAGAGAUUUUGAAGAGUGGCAUGCCAUCAGAGGACAGAGUAGCUCUGAUUAAAAAAUACCCACCGCCAAAGAACUGCUGCAUCAUUGAUCCUCCGAAGAUGAAUCCGGAGGUUCGAGCGUCUCUGCAAGAAAUGAUAAUUAAGAGAGAUGAACGUAUAGAAGCUAAACAAUCAAAGAUCGCAGCUUGUUUAGCGGCGGUUGGAAAAAUUUUUUCUAAUAUAUUGGAACGGCGCAAUGAUCCUGACAACCUGGAUAUUUUUGAACAACUCAGCGAUAUUGGAAGACUUCUCUCAGACUUACAACAUGACGAAUCGAAUAUCAGAAAAAGUUUAAUAUUGGCUAAUUUGAGUGCACCUUUCAAGGAAGUGUUAAGCGGGUCGACUCCUGACGAAUUGCUCUUCGGAAAACAGUUGGAAGAAAGAUUGAAGGCUGCAAAGACGUUGGAAAAUUGCAAGAGAGAUUUUAAGGCAACGUUGAAACCUCAAAACGGUAACAAUUCAAAAAACUCAAGAUUCCCGCCUCGUCGAUCACAAGGAAAUCAACGACAGGCCUCGUCAGCACCGGGCGGGAAAAAACUGCAGAGUACGAGGACUCAACAUGCUCUAACCAAUCGACGAGGCAUUCAGAGAUACGAAAACAACUGGAAAACCAGUCACAGAUACGACCAUCAUCGUCAGAAACGAUACUAGAGUCUAGAUCCACAUCCUCUAUGGAAAAAGAAUACCCUGGUUGUCGGACUUUUGUCAGGAGAGCAUUCGAGCUGAAAGGUAUUCCAGAAGAGUCAAUAGAGAUAAUGAUCGCUUCGCUUCGAGAUUCAUCACUCAAGCAAUACAACAGUUCAUUGAAGAAAUUGUGGGAUUUUUGCAUUGGAAGAGAAAUCAGCCCUUUCCAAAUUUCCAUCGAGAAUGUGAUGAUAUUACUUACUAAUGAGUAUAACACCGGAGCUUCACGAGGCUCUCUGAACUGCCUACGAUCGGCAAUAGCUUUAAUAAUGGGUCCUGAAAUAGGCCAGGAUUUUAGAAUACGGCGAUUAUUUAAAGCUCACAGUACUCGACAUGCGUCAACGUCAACCGCUAAAAUUAAGGAUGUCAGUAUUGACAGUAUUAGAGCAACGGCAGGAUGGUCCAGCAACUCACAAACUUUUGCUCGUUUUUAUAACUUACCAAUAGUUCAUGAUAAGGAGGCAUUUGCCCGAGCUAUAUUGCAAUAGUUACAAAUAUUGUUUCGUAUAUGUGUUGUU
rnacentral:misc_RNA from 1 species